CCAUGUUUAAACGGUUUAAUUCAUAACUAAAUAACCAAACGGUUUAAUUCAUAACUAAAUAACCGUAACUCUGAUUAAAAUGUUUGAUAUGUGUAACUUGACUAGAAAAAUGUGUAGAAUAACAUGAUGACAUUUAUUUUGUUGUUUAAUAAUUUUAAAAUUGUGUUAUAGGCAAAACAGUACCAAAAUCUUAAUUUGCAGGUGGGGACUUUCUGGAAUUGUUAUUCGUUGUUCCGGCCUGAGUUAAACUUUCCUAGACUUAUAUGUAGUUCCAUAAUAUUUUGCGGCACCCAUGAUUUAAAAUGCUUGUGGUUGUCAUUUGCAUACAUUUUGCAUCCACGUCAUAUUAUCUUGUGUGGGUCAUAUCUUUUAGACUGUAGUUUCAUUUUAGAUGAUCUAUAUAUGUGAAUCGACUAAAAUGACGAGUAGAAUCACAUGGUCCACUUCAUUUUCCUGUUUAGUAAAUAUAAAACAUGAUUAAUUCAGAUCUGGACCAAUUUCAAAAUUAACUUGUGGGGUCGCUUUGAAAAUACUAUAUGUUACUUCCGACCUAAUUUUAAAUGCCUAGAUAGUGUAGUUUAUUUAUGUUUCACGUCUUGCCAUGUUUAACAACAUUUGAUAUUGUCAUUUACCUAAACGGGAGUGAACUAAGUAAUUUAAAUAUGGAGUUUCGUCGACAUAUUGAGCUGCACUUAAUGCGUAGGAGUUGAUUGUGGUGCUUGCCAUGCCAUGCAUUAAUAAUUGGACAUGCAACAUAAUUGCUUGCACAUCGUGCCAUGCAUAUGUUGUGGGUAUUUAUUGUGUAUUGAUUGUUAUUUCUAGAUUGUUUCUUCUCGAUAGAAUUCCAAACCACGUUGGACUGUGAGGAUUCCUUCGACUAUGUUGGUUCGUUUACUUCACAGAUUUGUUCUUCUUCCAAGCGGGAUGUCAGGCAAGAUGAUCAUUUCCCUAGAUACCACUACUAUAAUUUCCAUGCUAGUUGUCUUGUUUUUUAAGGUAUGUCUCGCUGCCUACCACCUGUUAUGCUCGCCAACAUUUCCAUGAGAAGCCUCUAACCCCCUCCACAUCCCAGCAAAC
rnacentral:lncRNA from 1 species